AACAAACGCUGGCGGCGUGCAUAACACAUGCAAGUCUAACGGGAAAGUUGGCUUCGGCUGGCAAGUACCGUGGCGAACGGGUGAGUAACACGUGGGUAAUCUAACCUCGAGUUUGGGAUAACCUUGCGAAAGCGAGGCUAAUACCAAAUAAGACCACGCUCUGUACGCAGGGUGCGGUAAAAGGUGGCCUCUUCCUGAAAGCUAUCACUUGAGGAUGAGCCCGCGGCCUAUUAGCUAGUUGGUAGGGUAACGGCCUACCAAGGCGACGAUGGGUAGCCGGCCUGAGAGGGUGUACGGCCACACUGGCACUGAGAUACGGGCCAGACUCCUACGGGAGGCAGCAGUGGGGAAUUUUGCGCAAUGGGGGAAACCCUGACGCAGCAACGCCGCGUGAGUGAUGAAGGCCUUCGGGUCGUAAAGCUCUUUUAGUGGGGAAGAAGCCCGCCCGGGCUAAUAUCUCGGGCGUCUGACGGUACCCACAGAAAAAGUUCCGGCUAACUACGUGCCAGCCGCCGCGGUAAAAC
rnacentral:rRNA from 1 species